UAGAUACCCUGGUAGUCCACGCAGUAAACGAUGAAUGUUAGUCGUCGGGAUGCAAGUCAUUUCGGUGAUGCAGUUAACACAUUAAACAUUCCGCCUGGGGAGUACGGUCGCAAGAUUAAAACUCAAAGGAAUAGACGGGGACCCGCACAAGUGGUGGAGCAUGUGGUUUAAUUCGAAGAUACGCGAAGAACCUUACCUAGCCUUGACAUUGAUAGAAUCUUCCAGAGAUGGAGGAGUGCCUUUCGGGGAACUUGAAAACAGGUGCUGCACGGCUGUCGUCAGCUCGUGUCGUGAGAUGUUGGGUUAAGUCCCGCGACGAGCGCAACCCUCGUCAUUAGUUACUAACAGUUCGGCUGAGGACUCUAAUGAGACUGCCUUCGUAAGGAGGAGGAAGGUGAGGACGACGUCAAGUCAUCAUGGCCCUUACGGCUAGGGCGACACACGUGCUACAAUGGUUAGGACAAUGAGAAGCGAUACCGCGAGGUGGAGCAAAUCUAUAAACCUAAUCUCAGUUCGGAUUGUAGUCUGCAACUCGACUACAUGAAGCUGGAAUCACUAGUAAUCGUAGAUCAGCCAUGCUACGGUGAAUACGUUCCCGGGUCUUGUACUCACCGCCCGUCACACCAUGGGAGUUGAUUUCACCCGAAGCGGGGAAGCUAAACUGGCUACCCUCCACGGUGGAAUUAGCGACUGGGGUGAAGUCGUAACAAGGUA
rnacentral:rRNA from 1 species